rnacentral:rRNA from 1 species
AGAACGAACGCUGGCGGCAUGCCUAAUACAUGCAAGUCGAACGAGACCUUCGGGUCUAGUGGCGCACGGGUGCGUAACGCGUGGGGAUCUACCCUUGGGUUCGGAAUAACAGUUGGAAACGACUGCUAAUACCGGAUGAUGACGAAAGUCCAAAGAUUUAUCGACCCAGGGAUGAGCCCGCGUAGGAUUAGCUUGUUGGUGAGGUAAAGCUCACCAAGGCGACGAUCUUUAGCUGGUCUGAGAGGAUGAUCAGUCACACUGGAACUGAGACACGGUCCAGACCU